GCUCCAUGCCCAGCAUUGAGCGUGAUGUGGAGCUCGAUACCAACCUGAACCAAAACCAAGAGUUGGUCGCUCAACAGACUGAGCUACCCAGGCACCCCUCUUUUUGUGUCUUUUUGGAGAAAGUCUUCCUCCUUCUCAUUUUUAAACCUUACAUUUUCUCAAAGUGGUGGGAUAUUUUGUGUUUCCCAGGCUUCAGGGCAGGUUUUCCCAGGUACCAUGUUCUGGUUCAGGUCUCCUCUGGUUGCUAUCUUAGCUAUGGUGUCUUCUUGAUCUUUUCAUCUAAAGUGUCUUGACUUAUUUUUGAUCACUCAGGGGAUGUUGCAAAUAUUACUCAUCAAGAAGAGAGAGUUACCUUAUAUUCUAUUCCAGUCUCAUUUCUUUGUGAUUCAUGUGGACAGCUCCACCUUCAGAAAAGCCUGAUAACAUUGAAAGUACAUAAAAUUCCAAAGACAGAAUUUUUAAUGAUACCGGAUAUGUGAAUAAUAAAUUCCAGAGGAAUGUCAACAACUAAACAUCCAGAUAGAUUUUAAUUCCUCUCAAGACAGAUCAAUAAAGACAAACUUGAUGAUUAUAGGUAUGGCUGAUUUUGAGCUAUCCCCUUAAAACCAACUUGCUAUCUAUUUUCUGUAGAAAUGAAAAAUUGCCUGACUUUUAUAGUAAACGUUACUUAAAGAAAAAUUUGCCCUAUAGUUUUUGGCCAAAUAUCGGGGGUCAGAUGAAAGCCUUUGGAAGCUAACAACUUUGGCAGAUCCCCAGAGUUUAAUAGUAUUAAUGUUUUAGUUUUGUAAUAAAAGUUUAAAUUUAUUUAAAUUCUCAAAUAGAUUAUGUCAUUUGAAGAGAUAGGAUAAUGGCAAAAGGAAUGUAACAACCUUGAGAUUUUUAAAUAUUGAUUUUGGAAACACUUCACACUAAAAUCAUUUAAUAUAAUAAUUAGUUGAUCCAGUUUUUCUUCCCAUUGUAUUCAUAUUUCUUAUGGAAGUAUUUUAAAGCAUAAUAGGUUGCCAGCAGGAGUUUAAGUAGUAAAAAUAAAGAAUGGAUGUCAUUAUAAUAAUUUUUUUGGGGGGGGAUUUCCUCCAACUCUAUUUCUGUAUUCAAUAAAUGUUUAUUUGUGCAUUUAUAGUUAUAUUCAUCACUAUGCCUUUUACCUAAAUUUGUUUACUAUCUAUAGACUCAAGUAUAACUGCUAACACAUUUUCACUGAGAGAUGACAAAUUUGUUAUUUUUAUACUCCAGUUGUUUUUCUGCAUUCCCUAAUUUUGUCAAUGGUGUCACCAUCCAUUAUUCACUUAAAUAAGAAAACUUCCUGUUAUAUUUGGAUUCUCUUCCUCAUCUCCUAUAUCCAAUCAGCUGCCAUGUCCCUUUGAUUCUGCUUUUUAAUUUCCAAAAUUAUCUUUUCUCCAUCUCUGUUACUAUUGCUAGUUUUCAAACUGGCUCCCUACCCUGUGUUCUCAUCUCAACCCUCACCUAACUCAGCUGUCUUGUAUUUCAUUUUAGUCUAGGUUUUCCCCUAAAGCUGAUCCUGAGAACAGGGCUCUUAUGCAGGUGGUUUAUUUUGGGAAGUGAUCCUAAGGAACAUGGGUGAGUGACUGAGAAGAGUGAAAUGAGCAAGAAGGGAAUGGUGAUCCAUGGAUGUGCUAUUGGGCUGAGUUUCAUUGUGGGUGUUUAGGGUUCUAUCCUGCUAAGCAAAUCCUAAGGAGCCCUGUAGAACAUUCCCCAGAAUUUUAUACCCACAGGAUGAAAGAGGGGAGUAUUUAUCCACUAGCUUUCAUCUCCCUCUGCUCAAGAUUUGCUUAAUAGGUAUUAACUUGUGCCUUUCCAGUUUAGUUGGACAAAGCUAACAUGAGGCACAGCAGAGAAGUUUGAUUACAGAAAGCAAGAGAGUAGGGCUGGCUUUGUGGGUGUAUUAUCUGUUAGUGAUCUGUGAGGUCACAGGGGGCCAGACUUUGAAGGUCCUAAUGCUUUAUUUAAUGGUAUGCUCUCGUUGUUUUGAAAUUCAUAAUUAGUUAUGAACAAGAGAUCUCACAUUUUCAUUUUCUACUAGACCCCACAAAUUAUCCAGUCAUUCUUGCUAGAGACAGACAGUGGCCCUGAGAUAAAGGUCUGCCAUAACAAAAGUUGUAGUGAAAAUUUUAGCCAAGAAAAUGUGAAGUGAGGCUUAAGAGGUAUCUAACACAUAUUCUGGGUAGUGUAUCUAUAACUAUGUUUCUACUCAGGAAUGUAUUAAGCAGGAUGAUCUAGCAAAGACCAAUAGCCAUCCUGCAAAGGAGAGUCCAAGGCUUGUUCUUCCAAAUCUAUUCAGAGCAUGUAAGCCUGGGGCCUCUCUCCCAGAGCAACUUUGUAGCCUGUAAUUCAGGCCUAGUGACCACAGUGUGCUGGCCACUCAGGUUAAAUGUAAGAAUGAGGGCACAAGGAUUUUCUGAUAACCCAUCUUUCCCUGGCACCUGCCAAUUUUGACUUGAAGGGCUCAUCUUCAACUUCAGCUGGGAAGAGAGUCCACCCAGGGUGGGGAAGUAGGUUUAGACUGGUGGGCUGGGAAGUACACCAUUUUUGUUUGCCUUUUUUUCUUCUCCAGUGUGGUGAUUCUGUUUAACCCUGGGCUUUGAGGGAAGAAGGAAAGUGCAAUCACCAAGAAGUGAUAUAGGCUAUUUCCCAAUGUCCUUGGCGUGUGCACCCUUGUGGAAUCCGGUUCAUCUCCAAUCUGUCAAGAAGCAUCAGAGGUGGUUUUGACUCCUUAUGUCCUGAGCCUGUGCACAAAAUGUUGAUUCUCAAAUGGAAGCAAACAUCUGGAAUUAGCUAAAAGAAUCAACUAGAAGCUUUGUUGAACAGAGAUUCCUGGGCUCCAUCCAACAUUCUUGAUUCAAGAAAGGGGAAAUAACAUAUUUUUGUGCUGAGGGGGAUAAACCAAAAGAAAAAAAAUGAUGGUGGAGAAGAAAGAGGAGAAUUUCUGGAAUAAUAUCCUUGAGAAGACCUUGUGUGGAAGAAAAUGAGAUCCCGAGUGAAGUCUACAAUGUCAUUGACUCUGAAGAAGGACUCAGAGACCCAUUGGUGUUUAAUGACCCUUACUGGCCUAUGCAAUGGGAACUGGUAAGGAAGGAAAAGAAAACAAGAAACAUUGGAAGGAUAAAUGGGGUCUUUCCUGUGAAGGCUCAACUUUCCUACAUAAUUAAGAAUUUGCAGCUUAGGCACUGCCAAAAACCACAUCUGCACUGAAAUCAAUUAUCUGUGUUUGGUGUGGACACUUUGAUAGCCUGUCAAGGAACAAGAGUGGAAGGGAAUCAUGAGCUACAGUUUGAUUUCAGCCUUGUAAGAUCCUGAGCAGACCCAGCCAUGCAGUAGCCAUGCCGUCACCGACUUCUGACCCAAAGGAACUAUGACUUCCACUAACAUAGAUGGAGGAUGUAUAGCCCAUUCCAGUGGGACACCCAGGGCCUUGCCUAUGGUGGUUGGAGUUCUGGCUUAAAUUCAGGCAGCUGAGACACAAGUGUCAUUAACUCUUGCUGAGCUCUGUGGUUUUUCCUGGAUUCUGCCACAACCACCAAAUACCUCGUCUCAUGUAGAUGCUGCCAGCAACUCCACUGGGUAGUAGUCAUCCAAAAGGCAUCACUCCUGCUAUGUCUGCCAUCUUCUGCUCAUCAUACUUACGAUAGACUGAGGGUUUUUACUAUGGUAUGGUUAUGUUGUCCCAUUCUCAAUGGAGAAGUGGGGUUAGCAGUAUCUAAUAAAGUAAGUAUAAUAAUAAUGGCUAAAAUGUACCGAGUAUCCAUAAUGCACCAGACACCGGGUUGGCUUUUUAUUUACUUGGGCCACAUCCAAUUCUUAUCAUGUUAUAUCCAUUUCACACAUGAGGUGAAAUGACUGACCCAAGGUCACAUUGAUAACCAUUAGCUAAGCUGAAAUUCAAGCCAAGGUCUGUUCGGUUUCAACAUCUACAUUCUUUUCACCACACUGUGUAACCAUACCAAAGUUGCACUGCCUGUACCCCUAUACUUUAUAGAGAAUUUACUGAUAGUUUCUCCCACCCACUAGUGGUGCAGCAAGUGUUUGUGCAGAGAUAUUUCUAGAAACACUGCUCACCUCUAGUCGCAGGAUCAAGGUUCUCCACUUCUCUCUUUAUUUGUUUCCUCUCAGGAAAGGUCUCUUUACUUUCACACUUCUAGAAGCGUACCUCACUAGUAAGAGCUUUUUGAGGGCAAAGCUAAAUCUUGUUCUCUUUAUUCCUAGGGUCCAAGACAGUAUCUAGCACAUCAUGUCUUAUGGACUCACCAAGCACUAUUUGAAUGUAUGAAUUGAAUUGAAUUGCAUUGGAGACAACUCACAGACACACAAGUUAACAAGCACAAAGAAUGCAAGACAGAUGGAUCAGUUUGAUACAACCACUAUCUUGAGCAAGUUACUCAACCCUUCUGUUAUCACAUACAUAAUAGAAGGACAACUACUCUCUUAUAGGACAGUUGUAAAGAUCAAAUAAUAAGGCAAGAAAAAUGAUCUAGCAUAGUACCUGGAGUAUUUGUAGGCCUGUGCCCUCAGUCACAGUCCCUCCACCAGUUUAACUUUGUGCUACUUUCAAGGAUCACAUUGUUACAAUCUCAGUGCUUUUUAAAGGAACUGUAAAGUCCAAAGCAGAAAAAAGAAGGGAGCUGUGUAAAGCAAGAAUGGCUUGAAAGAAUUGACCUUGGGUAGGCUUGUCUUUCUGCUAAUUGCUUUGUUUUCCUCCAGCACUGAUGAUUUUGAUCCACUCACCAUUUAGCUCCCCCUAACAUUCUAUCUCCUCCCUUUCUCUCCUCCCAAAUGUAGGCCAAAUUUUGACAUUCCUACCUGUUAAUAUCUAUCUUAAAUUGGUGUCCUCUCUGUCCCCUCUGGCUUGGCUUUAUCUUAGGUCCCAUUAUCUCUCUCCUGGUCAACUGUAACAGCCUCCUGGGCUUCCUGCUUCUAGCUGGGCUUUUAAAAUCACACAGAAUAAAGCAAAUCCACCAACUUUCUCUUUUUCAAAUGGUACUAGUGUAGAAAAUCCAAAUCUACUGGAUUUUCAGGGGUAGUACCAAUUCCAGUGCACUACCAGUAGGAUAUUCUGGGAGGAAAAUUCUUUAUUUUCCAAUUACAUACUGUCAUAAGAAAAAAAAACUUUUGCUGGGCCAUGUGCCCCACUUCUUAAUUCAGAACAAAUGGUCACCAUAUCCUUGGGUUGUCUUGUAUUCAAGGAAAGGGAGUCUCUUACUCCUCCUCCAUCUUCUAAUUCAGAAUGAGUUACCCCCAUCUCGGAGCUCACAAUUCAGGCUAAUACUUAGGGCAGUGCAACUGAGGAGCAUUGUAUUUUAAAUAGGCUUAUGUGGACCAGCCUUAAAACCAAACAAUGAUUUAUAACAUUGAUUCUUUGGGAAAGGGCAUUUUAUGUCCCACGUGAGCAUCUAACAAAUGAAUUUUUGUAACCAAGCCCCAUUUGCAAGUUGGAGGCUGCCUUUAUUAGGAAGAAAGCAGUAAACCAAGAAUUCAUAUCCCUCCCAUUAGCAGUGCUGGAGAGGACAGAAUUAUGGACUAAUUGUUUAAUUGAUGAGCAUAAAAGGAAUAUUUUAUUUAAAGCCACACUUUGGAGUCAUUUCCUUUCACCCUUUCGGUUGUCUGCCUUAUAAAAUUCUAGCAAUCUUUUUUUCUACAUUUUCUUUUCCUUUCCUUCACCCAAAUCUCAGUAAGAUUUCAUUCUAGGUCUGAGCAUAUUAUUUGCUUUACGGUAGGCUCUGGUGGUAAUAAAGCAUUACUCAUUUUUCUGCUUUAUUUCCUUGAGACACAGAGCAAACAUUCAGUAAGUGAUAGCUCUGUUCAAAUGCUACUGUGUAAAACAAGUGAGCAAGACUCAUGGCCCCUAUCUCCUCAUGGAGGGAUGGAAUGAUUUUGAGAACAGCACAAGACAAUAAAUUAAGUGAAGGAAGUUGUAUCUCCUGAAAAUUUUCACCAUAAUUUCUCCCAAAUAGUUUAGAAUAGUUCAUUCUGUUUUAUGGCAACACCCUCAAGCUAGACAUUCUUUCUCAUUGAUUUUAAGGAGAAAAGGAAGGUACCGUUGUACAUGAAUAGGUACUGAGAUUAUUAACUAUUAUAAGAUCUCUUUUGUUCUGUUGUUUGGGUUUCCUUUUUAACCUAAGAUUACAUUAACAAAUCAGAUCUUGCUGAGAAAUUACUUGCACUUUUCACCAAACGCUUCCCACAAGGAAAAUGGUGAUUUUUUUCACUACUGCAAACCAAGAAUAUUGUGGUUUUCUCUAGAUGAAUGAAACUAGAGAAUUCUUUCUCUGAGAGCAUAAAGCAAACUGAUUAAGUCAAAGAGGUGAAAGCCACAGUCUUUACUUUUGAAGUAUUCCCAGCAAAAAUCUAGGGGAUCUUAUGGAUAGUCACACCAUAAUCCAUUGUAUCUUAGGUAUUUGCAAGUCCUCAGCAGGUCGCCAUAAUUUAUACUUGUUAACCAUAUAAACACGUAGGAGGCUCCUAAUUACUGCGAACACUGUUGAAUUGUCUCCAUUUUUAAGUAAUGAUAAAAAAUGUUACUAAAAGAGUGUAUCAUUUUGUUAAAUUGACUAAAUACGUUUGUAUACAUGUCACUUUUCAAUCUGUUGUUAACAAUAACCUUAGAAACAGUCCAUUGUAAAGGAUUUAUGAGUUUAAUACAUGGAACCUAGUCUCAUAUUUUAAUAAACAUUCUCAGUAUUGAAAAUGAAUGAAACGUACCACCAAUUUAAUUCAUAGGAUUCAUUGAAUGUUACUGAAGGAUCAAUAUAACAGACAGUUAAGAUGAGCUCUGGUUUAAGACUACCUGGGUUCAAGUCUUAGCUCUCUCACAGAUGGGCUGUGGGACAAUUAAAAAGACACUGACUUUUUUCUACACCUCUGCCUUUUCAUCAAUAGAAUGAGAAUAAAAACUGCCCCAGCCCUUUAUGGCUGUUGAGAUGAUUAAUAUACUUAGAACUCAGCACCUUGCACAUGGGAACAUGCACUGAUAUCUUAAAUUAGUCGUGUGCAUUUGGGGCUGCUUUGGCAUUAUAUUUGAUAGUGUUUGCUAAAGUAAAACAAAAAUGUAAAAUAUUAACAUAUAUUUAUGGUUAAAGAAGUUAUAAUUUUAGCUCUUGACUAUUGAUGAUGAUGAUAAGAAAUUCUGCAUUCUGCUUUUCACGCCUAACAACUCAAUUUUUAAUAGACAGUUGAUACCUGAAAUAUGUAAGCUUUUCGAAUCUGAGAUUAAUCUUUGCUAACUAGAUCCAUAAUUUGGUCUCACCAUUCGUAAGCAAAUA